rnacentral:rRNA from 1 species
CCAGACUCCUACGGGAGGCAGCAGUGGGGAAUAUUGCACAAUGGGGGAAACCCUGAUGCAGCGACGCCGCGUGAGCGAUGAAGUAUUUCGGUAUGUAAAGCUCUAUCAGCAGGGAAGAAGAUGACGGUACCUGACUAAGAAGCCCCGGCUAACUACGUGCCAGCAGCCGCGGUAAUACGUAGGGGGCAAGCGUUAUCCGGAAUUACUGGGUGUAAAGGGAGCGUAGACGGUAAUGCAAGUCUGGAGUGAAAGGCGGGGGCCCAACCCCCGGACUGCUCUGGAAACUGUGUAAUUGGAGUGCAGGAGAGGCAGGCGGAAUUCCUAGUGUAGCGGUGAAAUGCGUAGAUAUUAGGAGGAACACCAGUGGCGAAGGCGGAUGACUGGACGACAACUGACGGUGAGGCGCGAAAGCGUGGGGAGCAAACAGGAUUAGAUACCCCAGUAGU